UACAUGGGGUGCAAACGUUGCUCGGAAUUAUUGGGCGUAAAGCGCGCGUAGGCGGUUUCUUAAGUCGGAUGUGAAAGCCCUCGGCUUAACUGAGGAAGUGCACCCGAAACUGAGUAGCUAGAGUACGAAAGAGGGUAGCGGAAUUCCCGGUGUAGAGGUGAAAUUCGUAGAUAUCGGGAGGAACACCGGUGGCGAAGGCGGCGACCUGGGUCGAGACUGACGCUGAGGCGCGAAAGCGUGGGGAGCGAACAGG
rnacentral:rRNA from 1 species